rnacentral:rRNA from 1 species
UACGGGGGGGGCAAGCGUUGUUCGGAAUUACUGGGCGUAAAGGGCUCGUAGGCGGCCAACUAAGUCCGACGUGAAAUCCCAAGGCUUAACCUUGGAACUGCGUCGGAUACUGGAUGGCUUGAAUUCGGGAGAGGGAUGCAGAAUUCCAGGUGUAGCGGUGAAAUGCGUAGAUAUCUGGAGGAAUACCGGUGGCGAAGGCGGCCCCCUGGACCGGUACUGACGCUGAGGCGCGAAAGCGUGGGUAGCAAACGGG